rnacentral:rRNA from 1 species
AUUGAACGCUGGCGGCAGGCCUAACACAUGCAAGUCGGGCGGGGUUUUCGGACCUAGCGGCGGACGGGUGAGUAAUGCGUAGGAAGCUACCCGAUAGAGGGGGAUACCAGUUGGAAACGACUGUUAAUACCGCAUAAUGUCUACGGACCAAAGUGUGGGACCUUCGGGCCACAUGCUAUCGGAUGCGCCUACGUGGGAUUAGCUAGGUGGUGGGGUAAUGGCGCACCAAGGCGACGAUCCCUAGCUGGUUUGAGAGGCUGAUCAGCCACACUGGAACUGAGACACGGUCCAGACUCCUCCGGGAGGCAGCAGUGGGGAAUAUUGGACAAUGGGCGCAAGCCUGAUCCAGCCAUGCCGCGUGUGCGAAGAAGGCCUUCGGGUUGUAAAGCACUUUCAGUAGGGAGGAAGGGUGUUGUGUUAAUAGCACAGCAUUUUGACGUUACCUACAGAAGAAGCACCGGCUAACUCCGUGCCAGCCGCCGCCGUAAGAC